CUGUGGAAAAGAGACUGCCUGGAUAAGAACAGGACAUCAUCCUUGGCUAGUUUCCUGAAGGUCACUUGGAAGCUGAAGACAAACACAAGAUAAUGCCAAUAUGAAAACAGAAAAAUCGAUGCCACGUCUGGAAACGGCCGUGAACAUCAGCUCAACCUGCGACAGCAACGAGUGGAGCAAGAGCAGGGCCACCUGUGCUGCAGGGAGUGAGCAGCUCUCUCCUGGCCUGCUCCCAGGUACUUCCAAACAGCAGAUAUAAAAUACGUGCCCCCAGUGUUGAAGGAGUUAAUGUGACAUUGCAAAAUGAGCUUUGCUAUUUGCUGUUUUGUUUGGCCAAUAGCUGACACAAGCACAUUUUGCCACCUGGCUAAUUUUGUGCUGCCAAGUUAUUCAUUCAGGCCAGUGGUGUGAAAAAGGAGGCAUUUAAUAGUCAACAGAGCACUAUAUAGGGUAAUAGUUUAUGAUUUUCCAUGACUACUUAGAUGCUGCUCAAAUUAUUCUUGAUUGAGCAAAUUAUUCUUUUUUAAAAUCAUCCCAUUCAUUUAUUUACUAAUGACUCUAUCCCUUCUCUCCCGUGCACCAUUUUUUUAAAGUAGGAACUAUCAGCCAUUUCUAUGUUUGAGGGGAUUUAGCAAGAGGAAAA